rnacentral:tRNA from 1 species
GCCGGGGAGUAGAUUGGCGUCUAAGGUCGUCUCAUAAGCGAUCAACGUGGGUUCGAAUCCCACCUCCGGCA